AACCAACUGGGAUUACCUUAGUAACGGCGAGUGAAGCGGUAAAAGCUCAAAUUUGAAAUCUGGUACUUUCAGUGCCCGAGUUGUAAUUUGUAGAAUUUGUCUUUGAUUAGGUCCUUGUCUAUGUUCCUUGGAACAGGACGUCAUAGAGGGUGAGAAUCCCGUUUGGCGAGGAUACCUUUUCUCUGUAAGACUUUUUCGAAGAGUCGAGUUGUUUGGGAAUGCAGCUCAAAGUGGGUGGUAAAUUCCAUCUAAAGCUAAAUAUUGGCGAGAGACCGAUAGCGAACAAGUACAGUGAUGGAAAGAUGAAAAGAACUUUGAAAAGAGAGUGAAAAAGUACGUGAAAUUGUUGAAAGGGAAGGGCAUUUGAUCAGACAUGGUGUCUUUUGCAUGCACUCGCCUCUCGUGGGCUUGGGCCUCUCAAAAAUUUCACUGGGCCAACAUCAAUUCUGGCAGUAGGAUAAAUCAUUAAGAAUGUAGCUACCUCGGUAGUGUUAUAGCUUAUUGGAAUA
rnacentral:rRNA from 1 species